rnacentral:lncRNA from 1 species
GAGCGAAUGCAAGAUUUCUUCUUUUCCUCUACGCCACAUCAGCUCGAAUUCCCUGCAGGGGUCUGUAACUGCGGAACUCGACUUCACAGAGCUAUCCUGCCGCAUCAGCCGCGAAGGUGCCUCAAGCCCCGCUGCAGGACAGAGCCAGCAGCACUGUGCCACAGCGGUGCGGAAAUUUCAGCCCAGACCCCAGCCUGGCAGGUGUGGAGAAGCCGCGGUGGGUUGGAGAUGUCCCUUCCAGGCAGGCGUGGCCGGCGCGGUGACGGGAGGAAGGUCCCUGCAGAGGGUGCUCCAGCCCCAGCUACCUUCCUCUGCUUGGCACGGUCUUCUCUACAGUUAAUCACAGCAAAUAUUUUGAACACAAGUCACUUUGCAUCUCAGAGUUUUGGAGAAGAAAGCUAA